rnacentral:rRNA from 1 species
AUUGAACGCUGGCGGCAUGCCUUACACAUGCAAGUCGAACGGCAGCACGGGAGCAAUCCUGGUGGCGAGUGGCGAACGGGUGAGUAAUAUAUCGGAACGUGCCCGGUCGUGGGGAUAACGUAGCGAAAGCUACGCUAAUACCGCAUACGAUCUACGGAUGAAAGCGGGGGAUCGCAAGACCUCGCGCGAUUGGAGCGGCCGAUAUCAGAUUAGGUAGUUGGUGAGGUAAAGGCUCACCAAGCCGACGAUCUGUAGCUGGUCUGAGAGGACGACCAGCCACACUGGGACUGAGACACGGCCCAGACUCCUACGGGAGGCAGCAGUGGGGAAUUUUGGACAAUGGGCGGCAAGCCUGAUCUAGCAAUGCCGCGUGCAGGAUG